GGACCCGCACAAGCGGUGGAGCAUGUGGUUUAAUUCGAAGCAACGCGAAGAACCUUACCUAAACUUGACAUCCUGAUGACCGGAGGGUAAUGCCUCCUUUGGUAGCUUGCUAUCACAUCAGUGACAGGUGGUGCAUGGUUGUCGUCAGCUCGUGUCGUGAGAUGUUGGGUUAAGUCCCGCAACGAGCGCAACCCUUAUCCUUAGUAGCCAUCAUUCAGUUGGGCACUCUAGGGAGACUGCCAGGGAUAACCUGGAGGAAGGUGGGGAUGACGUCAAAUCAUCAUGCCCCUUAUGUUUAGGGCUACACACGUGCUACAAUGGCUGCUACAAAGGGAAGCGAAAGAGUGAUCUGAAGCAAACCUCAAAAAAGCAGUCCCAGUUCGGAUUGUAGUCUGCAACUCGACUACAUGAAGUUGGAAUCGCUAGUAAUCGCGAAUCAGAAUGUCGCGGUGAAUACGUUCCCGGGUCUU
rnacentral:rRNA from 1 species